UUUAACUUUAGUUUCCACUUUCAGUGCCCCCUUCUCUCUUAUUCCCAAAUCCCAAUUUCAAAACUGAAAUCCCUAAUACCCCUCCCCCUGUCCAUCGAUGCCGCUCACCACCUCCACCUCCAGGCUCCCACCUAUUUCCUCUGUCGCCGACGCCCACUUGAUUUCAUAAGCCGACUCAGGAAUUGAAUUUUUAUGACUAUGGCUAGUUCGAACACUCCUAUACCUAUGGACGAUGGGUUUAAUAAAUAUGAAAGUUCUCUCAAACGUUAAAAGUCUACCACUUCAAAGAUGUGGGAUGAAAUGACAAAGCUUAAAUGUGAGAACAAAGACGAAUUGAAGGCACAAUGUAAUCAUUCUUCCAAGUCGGCUUUUAGCAUGUGUAAGAAAGUUAUCACACCUUUAAGGAGUUCACUAAAGCCAAAAAUGAUUCAAGCCGCUAUUUGCUUUGAUGAUUAGAUGCGAGCUAAGAGAUUUUCAACGGAAAUCGGUUGCAAGAAUGAUGAUGACGAUGAGGACGAUGUUAUUCCGAUUGCUUUUUAGGCCUACUGUUGAAUGAAGACUUUUUGAAGGACUACACUAGAGGAUAUCUGCUGCUGUGAGACAUCUGUUUAUUUGUACUAUGCAUGGCAUAUGGGGGGUGGUGUCUAUUUGUAUUUUGAGAUGGAAUUGUGAUUGAAAUUUAUGAUUGUUAAACAAUGUUUUAAUAAAAUUAUCUUAUUGAAGUUUA